UUCGGGCAUGGCGGAAAGCUUUACCAUGCAGUCGAGGGGUAGAGUUAGCUUGCUGACUUGAGACCGGCGCACGGGUGCGUAACGCGUAUGCAAUCUACCUUGUACAGGGGGAUAGCCCAGAGAAAUUUGGAUUAAUACCCCAUGGGGUUUAGAAGUGGCAUCACUUUUUUACUAAAGUUCCAACGGUACAAGAUGAGCGUGCGUCCCAUUAGCUAGUUGGUAUGGUGACGGCAUGCCAAGGCUAUGAUGGGUAGGGGUCCUGAGAGGGAGAUCCCCCGCGCUGGUACUGAGACACGGACCAGACUCAUACGGGAGGCAGCAGUGAGGAAUAUUGGUCAAUGGUCGCAAGACUGAACCAGCCAUGCCGCGUGCAGGAAGACGGUCCUAUGGAUUGUAAACUGCUUUUAUACAGGAAGAAACCCUCUCACGUGUGGGAGCUUGACGGUACUGUAUGAAUAAGCAUCGGCUAACUCCGUGCCAGCAGCCGCGGUAAUACGGAGGAUGCGAGCGUUAUCCGGAAUCAUUGGGUUUAAAGGGUCCGUAGGCGGUUUAAUAAGUCAGUGGUGAAAUCUGGUCGCUCAACGAUCAAACUGCCAUUGAUACUGUUAGACUUGAAUAAUUGUGAAGUAACUAGAAUAUGUAGUGUAGCGGUGAAAUGCUUAGAUAUUACAUGGAAUACCAAUUGCGAAGGCAGGUUACUAACAAUUUAUUGACGCUGAUGGACGAAAGCGUGGGGAGCGAACAGGAUUAGAUACCCUGGUAGUCCACGCCGUAAACGAUGGAUACUAGCUGUUCGGAGCAAUCUGAGUGGCUAAGCGAAAGUGA
rnacentral:rRNA from 1 species